UACGAAGGGGGCUAGCGUUGCUCGGAAUCACUGGGCGUAAGGCGCACGUAGGCGGCUUUUUAAGUCAGGGGUGAAAUCCUGGAGCUCAACUCCAGAACUGCCUUUGAUACUGAGAAGCUUGAGUCCGGGAGAGGUGAGUGGAACUGCGAGUGUAGAGGUGAAAUUCGUAGAUAUUCGCAAGAACACCAGUGGCGAAGGCGGCUCACUGGCCCGGUACUGACGCUGAGGUGCGAAAGCGUGGGGAGCGAACGGG
rnacentral:rRNA from 1 species